rnacentral:rRNA from 1 species
AUUGAACGCUGGCGGCAUGCCUUACACAUGCAAGUCGAACGGUAACGCGGGGCAACCUGGCGACGAGUGGCGAACGGGUGAGUAAUGUAUCGGAACGUGCCCAGUUGUGGGGGAUAACUGCUCGAAAGAGCAGCUAAUACCGCAUACGACCUGAGGGUGAAAGCGGGGAUCGCAAGACCUCGCGCAAUUGGAGCGGCCGAUAUCAGAUUAGGUAGUUGGUGGGGUAAAGGCCCACCAAGCCAACGAUCUGUAGCUGGUCUGAGAGGACGACCAGCCACACUGGGACUGAGACACGGCCCAGACUCCUACGGGAGGCAGCAGUGGGGAAUUUUGGACAAUGGACGCAAGUCUGAUCCAGCCAUGCCGCGUGCGGGAAGAAGGCCUCGGGUUGUAAACCGCUUUUGUCAGGGAAGAAACGCUCUGGGUUAAUACCUCGGGGUAAUGACGGUACCUGAAGAAUAAGCACCGGCUAACUACGUGCCAGCAGCCGCGGUAAUACGUAGGGUGCAAGCGUUAAUCGGAAUUACUGGGCGUAAAGCGUGCGCAGGCGGUUAUGCAAGACAGAGGUGAAAUCCCCGGGCUCAACCUGGGAACUGCCUUUGUGACUGCAUAGCUAGAGUACGGCAGAGGGGGAUGGAAUUCCGCGUGUAGCAGUGUAAUGCGUAGAUAUGCGGAGGAACACCGAUGGCGAAGGCAAUCCCCUGGGCCUGUACUGACGCUCAUGCACGAAAGCGUGGGGA